rnacentral:rRNA from 1 species
GACGAACGCUGGCGGCGUGCUUAACACAUGCAAGUCGAACGGAAAGGCCCUGCUUUUGUGGGGUGCUCGAGUGGCGAACGGGUGAGUAACACGUGAGUAACCUGCCCUUGACUUUGGGAUAACUUCAGGAAACUGGGGCUAAUACCGGAUAGGAGCUCCUGCUGCAUGGUGGGGGUUGGAAAGUUUCGGCGGUUGGGGAUGGACUCGCGGCUUAUCAGCUUGUUGGUGGGGUAGUGGCUUACCAAGGCCUUGACGGGUAGCCGGCCUGAGAGGGUGACCGGCCACAUUGGGACUGAGAUACGGCCCAGACUCCUACGGGAGGCAGCAGUGGGGAAUAUUGCACAAUGGGCGGAAGCCUGAUGCAGCAACGCCGCGUGCGGGAUGACGGCCUUCGGGUUGUAAACCGCUUUCGCCUGUGACGAAGCGUGAGUGACGGUAAUGGGUAAAGAAGCACCGGCUAACUAUGUG